ACGGAAGGCAGCAGUAGGGAAUAUUGGGCAAUGGAGGCAACUCUGACCCAGCCAUGCCGCGUGAAGGAAGACGGCCCUAUGGGUUGUAAACUUCUUUUAUCGUGGAGUAAACCCGGCCACGUGUGGCCGGUUGAGAGUACACGAGGAAUAAGUAUCGGCUAACUCCGUGCCAGCAGCCGCGGUAAUACGGGGGAUACGAGCGUUAUCCGGAUUUAUUGGGUUUAAAGGGUGCGCAGGCGGCACGUUAAGUCAGCGGUGAAAUGUCGGGGCUCAACCCGGGCACUGCCGUUGAAACUGGCGAGCUUGAGUACGGAUGAAGUUGGCGGAAUGUGAUGUGUAGCGGUGAAAUGCUUAGAUAUGUCACAGAACACCGAUUGCGAAGGCAGCUGACUAAUCCGCAACUGACGCUCAGGCACGAAAGCGUGGGGAUCGAACAGGAUUAGAUACCCUGGUA
rnacentral:rRNA from 1 species